CAGUCCCGUACUUAAGUACCUUAAGCAUUAUUUCACGAUCGUAUUAAAAAAGUUUUGUAAUUUUACGACACUUCCGGUGGUUUAGGAGUGACUAAAUAUAGAAACACAUCAACGAGUACCUAGCACUGCAAGUCGAUCAAGGAUGCCGAACACUGAAUGAAAAUUUAAACUGUGUCUCCAAAUAAUUACCAUGUUUUGAUUUAAGGAAACGCCACCUUACGAAAAAGAAAUCUAGUGUAAGUUACGUUUCGGUGCACGUUAUUACAUUUUUCUGUUUGAAUUGUAGCUAGUAUUUUUGUCUUUGACUUAUGAAUGUUAUUGAUAUUAUGUAUUUUUUAUUGUAGGAGAAAACUAAAGCUGUUAUUCAAAAUUUUCUUUUCAAGCUACAAAAACAAAUUUCAACAAUUGCUUUGGAGGACUUAUUUGAUUUUAAAAAU